AGGAAAAGUAUACAAUGAUUAAAAGAUAAUAAGAGCCAAGAUUAACACAAAGGUUACUAAAUGCCAGGAAUUAUGCUAAGUAUUUUAUAUGAAUUAUCUAAUUACAAUUAUUAUUGACGGGUAUGGUUACGAUUUUGAUCACUCCAUCUUAUAGGAGGGGAAACUGAGGCUCAGAGAGGUCACAUGUCCCCUACAUACUGAGAGGACUGAUGUCUGUAAUAGGCUGAGCUGUUGAGGACCCCGAUCUUCUGUCCCAUCACUCCUCAGACAUUUGAACCGUUAGUUACUUAAGAGUCUUGGUGGGCUAGUCAGGCACCACUGAGUGACGGAGCACACACAGCACAAGCCUUGGCGCUACGGAAGAACGCUUUCCUGCUGGGCAUCGAUGUCUCUGGCUACAUAAGGAAAACCUAGCUCUGGAAGGAACAAACCAAGGCGAGAAAUAAGCAGACCUGAAGGGUAAAUGCAGAAGAGCUCUGCCUAAUUGUCUGGGUCCUUGCAUUCACCUGUGCCAGAGUUUAGAGCUACUCCUGGACUCCCAAUUAGGAGAGUCCAUGAGUUCAUUCUUUUCUUAAGCUAAUUUGAUGGGUUGUCUGCCCUUGGCAUACAAUAACCACNNNNNNNNNNNNNNNNNNNNNNNNNNNNNNNNNNNNNNNNNNNNNNNNNNNNNNUAAUGGGCGAAGCAUGUGAUUAGAAGCUCAAUGAAGAAACAGCAGUGGAGAUUAAUUCUGGAACUCCUAUCUGGGGGGCCCAUGCCUCUUUGCAGUGGAAGACUGGGUGCUAUUUUAUCUGCGCCUCCCGAGGUCUCGCCACUGCUAAGACACACACAGGACAUCUAUAGGUGGUGUCCAGCGGCUCUCCAGAUAUAUAGCUGGUUUAUCCUGGGAUCAUCUUAUUUGGCUCCAUGAAAUAAUCUUCCUUAAAUAUGGAGUUAGGAAACAUGAGAAAUCGUUAAUGAUACAUUGUUCCUGGAAUAUCAUGGAACAGAGCGAAGAUUCCCCCCCUGCCCCAUUGGUUUCUGGCAGCCCCGUGGAGGUGCUGGUGGGAGUGUGCUUCAGGAGGGCUGGAGGUCAUUAACCGCCCCCUUUCCGCAGAGCCUGCUUGCCCUCCCACGUGGCCUGCUCAGGAGCCUGUAAUGAAGCCAACAGCUCCUCGAGGCACGGUCUCUCCCUCUUAAUGCAUGGCUUCUUUGGAGCAGAAUCAAUUACAGUUUUAUUUUAUUCCAUCUCUAUAAAAUGGUUGUGGAAUGAUGCUUCUUUUGUGUUGGAGGAAAAAAAAAGCAACCCAGUCCCUGGAUGGGAGAUUGAUUGAU
rnacentral:lncRNA from 1 species